rnacentral:rRNA from 1 species
AGCUCCAAUAGCAUAUAUUAAAGUUGUUGCGGUUAAAAAGCUCGUAGUUUGAUUUCUGCUGAGGACGAUCGGUCCGCCCUCUGGGUGAGUAUCUGGCUCGGCCUUUGCAUCUUCUUGAAGAACGUGACUGCACUUGACUGUGUGGUGCGGUAUGCAAGACUUACUUUGGGGAAAUUCUAAUGUUUGAAGUAGGCACAUGCCUUGAAUACAUUAGCAUGGAAUAAUGAGAGAGGACCUUGGUUCUAUUUUGUUGGUUUCUAGAAUUGAGGUACUGAUUAAUAGGGAUCGUUGGGGGCAUUCGUAUUUAAUUGUCAGAGGUAAAAUUCUUGGAUCUGUUAAAGACGGACUACUGCAAAAGCAUCUGCCAAGGAUGUUUUCA